rnacentral:rRNA from 1 species
AGUGAACGCUGGCGGUAGGCCUAACACAUGCAAGUCGAACGGCAGCAUAGUAAGAGCUUGCUCUUACGGGUGGCGAGUGGCGGACGGGUGAGGAAGACAUCGGAAUCUACUUUUUCGUGGGGGAUAACGUAGGGAAACUUACGCUAAUACCGCAUACGACCUACGGGUGAAAGCAGGGGAUCUUCGGACCUUGCGCGAUUGAAUGAGCCGAUGUCGGAUUAGCUAGUUGGCGGGGUAAAGGCCCACCAAGGCGACGAUCCGUAGCUGGUCUGAGAGGAUGAUCAGCCACACUGGAACUGAGACACGGUCCAGACUCCUACGGGAGGCAGCAGUGGGGAAUAUUGGACAAUGGGCGCAAGCCUGAUCCAGCCAUACCGCGUGGGUGAAGAAGGCCUUCGGGUUGUAAAGCCCUUUUGUUGGGAAAGAAAAGCAGCAGGUUAAUACCCCGCUGUUCUGACGGUACCCAAAGAGUAAGCACCGGCUAACUUCGUG